rnacentral:piRNA from 1 species
UAGACUAUUCUGGUUUUAAACUUGGUCCA